AUCAAAUUAACAAAAGCCCUUUGAUUUAAAGUUGCAGGUACAACCUGACCUUGAGAAAAUUUCGGUUUGGAUUUCGGCUGAUGCUUAGCACGAGAAUCCAAAACCUUUUUUCUGACGGGGCAAUCCCAGAAAUUUGAUUUGUGAUUUCCACCACAAUUUGCACAUUUAAAUUGGGUGACUUCUUUCACGGGACAAUUGUCCUUGUCGUUAGAAGAAUCCCCGCAAACCAUGCAUUUUGGAACCAUGGCGCAAUGAUCAGUACCGUGACCGAAUGCCUGGCAACGCCGGCACUGGGUCAGAUUCUGGCUAUUACCACCAUGUUUCUUAAAAUGCUCCCACUUUACCCGUACAUGGAACAAAAACUGAACUUUGUCCAAAAGUUUCAAAUUGUUGAUUUCAUUUCUGUUGAAAUGAAUCAGAUAAUAUUGUGAAGUCAAACCAAAGCGAGAAAUAUUCUCUUUGAUUUUUUCUUCAUUGGUAUUGUAAUGUUGAGAGGGAUAUCCAAAACAGGUCCGUUCAGUAGAUUGACAAGGGUGGUAAUGAUUCUUUAUUGACCUAACAUAUAAUUGACUACUAUGAUCUACUAAAUCAUAGACUACUAUAAUAUUACAAUAUAUCACAUCUCUUCCUUGUUUUAACAUGAAUUUUAAUUUAGAUUUUCUUCAAAUUGAUAUAAUGAAUAAUCAUAUAAGUAGUUCGGUUUCUUGGAAAUCCUUCUCGAAGUACGCGUGCUGACAUCUUCUCCAAUCGUUGUGCUGCCGUUUUCCUCAGUUGGAAUGACAUCUCUAUCAUUAUUCUUGGUCUCAUACGUGUAGAAAUUGUGUUUGUGGUUUUUCAAAUAACCAACAAAAGUUUGGUGAUCUUGUAAAUAUUCCGUCAACAAGCGACAUUCUCCUCUUCGACCAAGCUGGAACGAAACCUUCAAAUUGCAAGUUUCCUUGCAAUUCUUCAGUUGCGUUCGAAAGCUGGCCAAAUCGGAGACGGAAGUCACUACAAUUGGCGGAGCCUUUACUCGUUUCUCGACGGCAGAAGGCUCAGUACGAGGAGAAGGAUCCUUGUCAACAGUUUCGGAUAAAACACCAAAACUGUUUGCCUAUGAAAUUGGAGGAUUGACCUCACUUUCAGAAUCAGAAUUAUACCUCGGAUGAGGCUGUUUUCUUUUUCUGUUUCCGUUAGCCGAUUUAGCGUUCAAACGCUUCACCGACGUAACGACCAAAUCUUCAGAAGAUUUGCGUUUACCUUUGUUUUGACGCAUUUUGCAAGCAAAGUUCUCUUAAAAAGAUGGCUUCGUUUGUAAAAUACAACAAAAUUUCAGGUGGGGUUAGUCUUGAAAAAUUUAGAAUUUUGGAAAAUAACUCAGGUAGUCUUUAAAACGACUGUGAAUUUUGUUUGAAAUAAUUCUGAGCUUAGGUAGUAAAAAUACCGCAGCUCUAGUGUCCGUUCACCUCGAAGGUUAGCAAACACUGAUGGUUUAUUUGAUGGAAUCGGUUCUCAGAUGACCAGUGAACAUAACUUUUCCAAAGGUUUGAAAAAAUAUUUAAACAGUCCGUUUUUAUUUACAUUUUACAUCAAAAAUCAAUCCGGCCCGUAAGCCGGACAAAUUUUUCACGUAAAACUUACACAAAAACGACCUGCAAAAAUAUUGUAUCAAAGUUAUGUUCACUGGUGACCGAGCCACGUAACCUAGUGGUAACGCUUCCGCCUCGUAAGCGGUAGAUCGGGGUUCAAAUCCAGGCUCGGACCAACACAACUGCACGCAAACAUAUUCCGGUGAACAUCGGAUGCGCAUUCGGCUUUGACCAUCCGAUGUUCAUACCUGUGAACAUCGAACGUUCAAAUCUCGUAAAAAUUACCAACACAAUUAAAACUUAUUUCAAUGUAUGUGUGAACCUCCCUAUCGAGCUGCUCUCUUCUUCUUUAACUUUGUUUCAAUAGCGGGGAUUCUUCCUUCAUCGCGUUUGACAGUUGGAGUUUUUUUUGCCAUCGCAACGUUUUGUUUUGCAGCCGGACAGACUGCAGGUGCGUUACUUGCUUUUCCAAAAAAAAAAUCACUCUAAGGAUAAUUUCUCACCAAUUAUUUCUCCCCUUACCAGGCCACCAAGACCGCAUCCGGAGCGACGGUCCUUCACCACGCGCCCGGCGCAGCUGGCCAAGUAACGGCUGCGGACGGAAGCCAGCAGCAGCAACCCAAGUUUGUGUUCAACGUGGACGCAGCAGCCCCAAACGGGACGUCCUCCAGCGUUGAUUCCGGUUGACGCGUCCGGUAUGCCCACGAAGAUAGCCAAAAAGAGUGACAAGUCACGCAAGGAGAAGAACCGGCUGGCCGGAGUACGACAGGCACCGGCAGAUCAACAAAGUGCAGCCGCAGUGGCCGCCGUUCCCGGAGGCCGCUGGCCUAUGCCGGUGGUCAUGAAGAACUGGUCGAGUUCCUCAUCAGUCGCGGUACCAACAUCGAACACAAGAACAAGAAGGGCUUUACGCCGUUGAUCUUGGCCGCAACCGUAGGUCACAAGAAGGUGGUCGUCGAAACGCUGCUCCGACAUGGGGCGAAAAUGGAUCGCGACCUGGAAAGAAGCCGCGAAAAAAGUCGCAAAGCGGUCGCGGCCAAACGACGCGAACGGAAGAAGCGCAGAAAGGCUGCAAAGCGCGAACAGCAGCGCAAACUAGUCGAAGGCGAAGUCAAACUGCCAACCGGACGACGACUCGGUCGAAGAAAUUGUCAACGUUCGACUGCCACAGACUAGCGGAAGCGGCAACUCAACCACCCCCACAACAAACAAUCGCAUUCAUCCGAGAGAACCUCCACCAACAGCUUCAAUCGUCGUCCAGCAGCAGCAGGACAAAAAGGAAGGUGGAGACUCCGGCAUCGACGCCAACAGCCAGGGCUCGUGCUCGAGCUCGGACGUCAAGUCCGCCAGCAGCCUGAUCGAGCAACAGCUAAAGAACAACAAAAAGCGCAAACAACUCCAGCAAGCUCACCAACAACAACAACAAUCGCACGUCAGCUCGGCCGUCACGGCCAAGCAACUCCAGCGGCAGCAGUACGCGUGCGCACGCACGAUCAAGACUGCCAGUGUCCACCUGAGGCAAGUGCUUUUCGCGCCCGGUGUUGCUUCAAGGUCACAUCCGAACGCACACAGGUUAGAAGCCCCACCCUUUGCCCUCAAGUCCAACCAGUACAAGCACGAGGACUAGUCCUGUAUGAAGAAAUACCUCCGGAAUGCACCGUGUAAAAGCUAACAGGACAUUCGUUCAAGAAUGGCGCCGGAAGAUCGAAAAGGACCAGCACGGAUCAUCAUCGUUUUCGUCUUCCUUAACAUCUUUAUCCAGCAGUGAUGGCCAUUCCUUCCCGGGAUCAUAGAGGUAUAGAGGUCGACCGAAAAGGUACGAAAAUUGUUCAUCUUAUGAACAUAAAUUUCACUCACAACAUUCACUCCUUCCACAGCGUGCAUUUCUCGUUUGUGCACCCCGCCCCGACCAAAACCAAACUGCAAAACCUGCUUAAGAAGCGACCUCGCCGUCUCCGCCAUCAGCAAGAGCCACCCACUUCCGCUCCGUACAUCAAGAAGUGGAAUUGGAAUCUCGGAGCACGUGAAGUGGACUUGGCCGUGGGUUAACGCUAACGAAACUUCAAGCGCACAUGAAGCAGCACCGGACUGGUUUGGGUCGGCAAAAACAAAGCUGCAGCCAUGGCACGAAAAUUGCCAAAGGUAGGUAGGAUGAUCCCUUGAAUAUGAACAAAGUUCUACAACCUUUCUUAUCUUCACACAGAACUUAAGCAAAUCACUUCGAACAUGCAGACCCACAAGAACCUGACUGCGCUCCGGACUGGUCCCGGACAAUUAUAAAUUCCAAAUCGAAUGGCGUGGCAGCAGAGUGGAAUAGACUGCCGUCGAUAACAGAGCGGAAGUUUUGCGUGCCAAUGCGUGGUUCUUCCGACCGAUCAAGGUCGAUCUGGUGCUGGCCGAGCAUGACCAAGUGGAAGCUCGCAUGAAAACCGCCGGUACCGCACGGCCGACUGUUCCGGCAGGAAAAUUUUGAUGCGCUGGAAUCGAACGGCCAAAGACCACAGGGCAGAAAGAACUGAUUGAGCAUUUUGUCCUGAUUUUGUUGAUUUCAACUCUGCUACUAGAAAAACGGUUUGCUGAUGACUGGAGUAACAAAGAUUGAUUGUAAAACGUUCGUUUUAAAAGCUGAAUUAAAAAAAUAUUUAUCGUUUUAUCAGUUAUUUCCUUUUGUAGGGAAUAUUAAUCAAAACAGAUGGUUUUAUUUCUUUAACUUGAAAAUUAAACUGAAUAAAUCUAUUGUUUACAAUGUAAACAGUUUAAUUUAGUUUAAUUUUGAAAUUAAAGCAAUAAAAACAUCUGUUUUGAUUACCAUUCUCUUGAAUAAAUUAAAUUAUACCCAAAAUACUCAUUAAACAGAGCCAUCUAGUGACAAAAACAUUGAACAGAGCCAUCUAGUGGCGAAAAGCGGUACUGCCCAGCAGCGGCAAUGUACGGUGGCGCCGCCAGUGAUGAAUAGAGAAAACAGCAAAAAGUUGCACGGGGCGACACGCACACAAUCAAAGGAACUGUCAAAUUUCAUUCAAAGCAAGAUGAACAUCGGAUGGUCAACGCGCUUUGAGCAUCGAAUGAGCAUGAUCGUUUAUGACCAUUCGAUGUUCAAAAUUUAGGUACCAAUGAUCAAAGAAUUCGCAUUGGUUGUUUUGCGUGUGGUGAUCUUUUUCCUUCUGGAUUCGAUUGCUUAGUAAAGGGAAGGUAGUGUAUCGCCACAAACUGGACCUUAUCACGACACCUUAGGGAGGCGACCUAUGGAAUGUUAACAUUAACCUAAACAUGUUAACAUUAGUUGAGUGAAAAACUGCCACUGAAUCCGCUUUGUAAAUGCCGGCCCUGAUACUCUUCACGGGUGUUCCCCUCAGGAACUGGGAAAGAUUUACUUUUUUUAUGUUCACUGGUCAUCUGAGAACCGAUUCCAUCAAAUAAACCAUGAAAAAAUGGGCAAUUGUAAUUUUGCCGAUCGAAAAUGUGAAAAUUGAGCCAAAAAGUUCGGGCAGGCCUGGAUUAAGCGAUGUAUGCACAUCGGAAGGAACCGGUCAAGAAAAAUUUCAAAUGGGCAGCAGCGGCAGCGAAAGCAACUCAGAUAGGGUGAAGAAAAGACCCAAGAAAACGCUCCCUUUCCUUUGUUAUGCUGUUCGUAAAGCUGUUUCUUGACCCCUUUCCUUCCGAUCUCCAUAUUAGCCUUUUGACCGAGGGCGUGACAAUCGAAAAUAAUUAAAUAAUUUAAUUAAUUAACGGUAGAAAUUAACGAAUUAACGCAACAUUAAUUUUUGUUUGCGAUCAAAACAUCGCCACCUCUUUUUACACCACGUUGAACCAGUUUGACAUUGCGAGCGUUUGUUUUUGUUGUUUUUGUUGUCAGAAGAGAACGGAGGAGAACGCCCAAAAAAGAAAAAAGACCGAGGACACGGAGCAGAAGGGAUUCCUGGGACCAUUCCAGCUGCUCGGUAAGUACCUCAUCGUGGAACACCUGAUGAUGUUAUCACAAGACAGCGGAUCACUUGAACAAAAGAGUCGCUGGUUAAAACAUAUUUAUUAAUUAUGCUUUCUUCUCACCCACAUGCAGAUUUCAAUUAUAACUUUAAGUUUCUCAAAUUUGGGUUCUUGUUGUGCCUUCCGCCAAGGCGCCCCGCUGGUAUAGGCGGUCGUUUUAGGAGACGUUUCUGUGGAUGAGACCAACAACAUGCAGGAUAUUUGAAUAAGUUUUCAGAGGAGGAUUUUUAUCUCCAGGGCUAACUUCUUAUUCCUAUUUCAGACUUCUUCAAGGUGAACAACCAACAUGAGAAGAACGAUUCCAAGCUGUUUCGAUGAGCAAAGAGAUCAUUGGCAGCGACGUGACGAGGACGUUUACGAUGACUACAUCGGUAGCGACGGUGGGAUGCUCACGAUUCGGCACCUCGAUGAAGAGAAAAUAAAGCCGGACCAGGAGCUGGAACUGUCCACAAGUUCCUCGGAUUAAGCGCCGAGCAGAGAACGUACGAAAAAUUUUGCGGCUUGCUGGUGCUACGCUUUAGCAUGCUCAACAAUACUUAAAUCGAUCCGUUUGAGCAAAUCUUCCAGGACACUUACACACGACCCAUCCCUGGACACGAACCGCCUCUGCCUCUGAUCCUUAUUGCGGCCUCACGCCUCACGGCCGAGCUGCGGGAGUUCCUGAAAAACGCGCCACAACAGAUCGUUCAACCAGUGCUUGCCCCUCUGCCAGUAGGCGACCCGGACAGUUCCAACGGAAAUAAACUUAGCUAUCUUGAUACAAUGAGAGCAAUCUAGUGAUACUCUAAUGGCGGUCACAGUCGAAAUGGAACGUGAGAUGUUGAGAUUAAGAGACAAUAAAAAUAGUUGAAAAAUUAAAAUCGAAUAAAAUUGAACUCUAAGCGAGACUCUAAGGUUUCCUAAAAUUCUCAGAAGGUUCAAAAUUUUACGAACGCUGAAUAUCAAAAAUCUGUAACCGUUGGUCACAAUUCUUGACGAAGGAAAGUUUCACUUCAGUAUUUUUAUUACCAUCUCACUACACUUAACAGUGGGAUGGGGCAAAUCUUUCAGUGUAUGCGAGGCUGAAGCCCACCAAUUUCCCGGUGGGGUGUCCUGACAGCGCAGCUGUUGACACAUUGGGAAUUGGUGGGAAAAUGGACUCGGGAAAACCAAAAAGAAAGCUCGAUCUGGGGAAGAUCGGCCUCUUGUAUUCAGGCUUCCGAGCGGACUGGUCGCGCUUCAAGUGGCGGUAGUUAAGCGCCCCCACAACGGCGGAACCCGGAGGUUCCGAGAGUGCGAGUCCGUUUCGGAUUGGUCGGCCUGGGUUGCGUGAAUUCCAUGCUGGUAGCUUCCCACGUCUAAACGUAGUAGGACCACCCCCGUCGUCUGGCGCCUCCCCGCGCCAUCAACGCCAAGGACGACAGCUCUCAGGCCGCUGGCCUUAAUCGUUAAGGAGAGUCCCCUCUCGGCAGCCCGAAUCAGUGGACUCUGGGGCUGCCGAUUCGCCAACGAGGGAAGAAGCCUGCCCGACGAAGCCAGCAACGCCCGCUGUGCGUCCAUCCGACCCGGCACGAAGUCCGGAGACCACCGUACCGGCCGCGAAGGCCGCAAAACCGCUGCAUCCGGCGCCGAAGACCGGACAACCGCAGCGCAGAACAACAAGCCACCGUCAGCCAGCAGAACAAGCCCCCCCCCCACGAGCGGGACAGUUCCAGCCGCGGAGUGUGAGCGAAGGAGCUCCUCCGGCGGCGACCAUCCGGCACGAGAACCAGCUGAGCUGCGCGGUAAGAGUGCCCCAAACCACCUACACUUCACACAACCCACACCCACACCAAACAAAUCACCCAAUAAAGUGCUGAA